rnacentral:rRNA from 1 species
GAACGCUGGCGGCAUGCCUAACACAUGCAAGUCGAACGAUGGCCUUCGGGUCAUAGUGGCGCACGGGUGCGUAACGCGUGGGAAUCUGCCCUUGGGUUCGGAAUAACAGCGAGAAAUUGCUGCUAAUACCGGAUGAUGACGUAAGUCCAAAGAUUUAUCGCCCAGGGAUGAGCCCGCGUCCGAUUAGCUAGUUGGUGAGGUAAGAGCUUACCAAGGCGACGAUCGGUAGCUGGUCUGAGAGGAUGAUCAGCCACACUGGGACUGAGACACGGCCCAGACUCCUACGGGAGGCAGCAGUGGGGAAUAUUGGACAAUGGGCGAAAGCCUGAUCCAGCAAUGCCGCGUGAGUGAUGAAGGCCUUAGGGUUGUAAAGCUCUUUUACCCGGGAUGAUAAUGACAGUACCGUGAGAAUAAGCUCCGGCUAACUCCGUGCCAGCAGCCGCGGUAAUACGGAGGGAGCUAGCGUUGUUCGGAAUUACUGGGCGUAAAGCGCACGUAGGCGGCUUUGUAAGUCAGGGGUGAAAGCCUGGAGCUCAACUCCAGAACUGCCUUUGAGACUGCAUCGCUUGAAUCCGGGAGAGGUGAGUGGAAUU